UUUAAGUUAUAAGUAGGUAGGUACACGACCCUCGUAAUAUUGAGUAUGCUUAGAUUAUAAUUUUUGCUUUGUAAACAGUUUCAGAUAAUAUUUCGUUUGAGAAAAUUGAUUCUUGGCACACAAGUGCCUCGGUCUAGAUACCUCUGGACACAGCCUACAAGGCAUCGACAAGAUUGAAGUAGGCUGGUAGGUUUAGCCUUAAAGUGUAUAUCAGCGUAUCUAAGCGUGCUUCGUGUCACGAGAUUGCUCAUAGAACACAAAAAACCCAAGCUGAAGGACCAUAAGGCACUAGAGAAGUUUUACAGAAAAAAAACUAAGUAUUUUGGAAAAAUGUCGAAUAUUCCAAAGAUACUUUGAGAUACCCGCAUAGAAAAAUACAAUUUGCCGCACAUUCCGAACAGUUCCGAGAAUUUGUUCGGUUUCCACGUUCCAGAGGACUUGCCAAGCGGUAUUGCUGCUUACUUCCAAUGCCGCGAUGUUUGAAGGACAUACAAAACCUCAAUCAGAUCAUAGGCCGGAAAGGGAUAGUAGGAUAAUAAUCGUCAAAUCAUCGUCCCACUGCUCUCAGUUUCUCGAGAACCGGACCAAUUUCGACUCGGAAGUUGCUAGCAAGCACCACAAGCCAAGGAAGAUGCCAACCCUUCUUGAAUUCGUCCUGUGGAAGCGGAAACUACGAGCAACGUAUUUUGGACAAAAAAGCUGUGAUUCUCGUUUGUUACUUUUAAUUUGAAUAAUUUCUGAUAUUUUAUUGCAGACAUAGUUUGAUUAUAUUUCAUUUACAUAUAACAAUAUAACAAGUUGGGAAACAAGUUUUCUCAACAUAGGCAGCUUACCGCAGGUACACCUCAAGGAUCGUGCCUUAGUGCUCUCUUGUUUAGCCUAUUCAUCAACAGCCUUCCAAAUAAUCUGCAGCGC
rnacentral:lncRNA from 1 species